GAGAGAACUCUCGUUAAGGAACUCGGCAAAAUGACCCCGUAACUUCGGGAGGAGGGGUGCUGACCGCAAGGUCAGCCGCAGUGAAUAGGCCCAAGCGACUGUUUAUCAAAAACACAGGUCUCUGCAAAAUCGAAAGAUGACGUAUAGGGGCUGACGCCUGCCCGGUGCUGGAAGGUUAAGAGGAGAGGUUAGCGCAAGCGAAGCUUUGAAUUGAAGCCCCAGUAAACGGCGGCCGUAACAAUAACGGUCCUAAGGUAGCGAAAUUCCUUGUCGGGUAAGUUCCGACCCGCACGAAAGGCGUAACGAUUUGGGCACUGUCUCAACGAGAGACUCGGUGAAAUUAUAGUACCAGUGAAGAUGCUGGUUACCCGCGACAGGACGGAAAGACCCCAUGGAGCUUUACUGCAGUUUGAUAUUGCGUGUUUGUAUCACAUGUACAGGAUAGGUAGGAGCCGAAGAUACCGGGACGCCAGUCUCGGAGGAGGCAACGGUGGGAUACUACCCUUGUGAUAUGACCACUCUAACCCGCUGCUCUUAGCGAGCAGGGAGACAGUGUCAGACGGGCAGUUUGACUGGGGCGGUCGCCUCCAAAAAUGUAACGGAGGCGCCCAAAGGUUCCCUCAGAAUGGUUGGAAAUCAUUCGUAGAGUGUAAAGGCAGAAGGGAGCUUGACUGCGAGACCUACAAGUCGAGCAGGGACGAAAGUCGGGCUUAGUGAUCCGGUGGUUCCGCAUGGAAGGGCCAUCGCUCAACGGAUAAAAGCUACCCUGGGGAUAACAGGCUUAUCUCCCCCAAGAGUUCACAUCGACGGGGAGGUUUGGCACCUCGAUGUCGGCUCAUCGCAUCCUGGGGCUGUAGUCGGUCCCAAGGGUUGGGCUGUUCGCCCAUUAAAGCGGUACGCGAGCUGGGUUCAGAACGUCGUGAGACAGUUCGGUCCCUAUCCGUCGCGGGCGUUGGAAAUUUGAGAGGAGCUGUCCUUAGUACGAGAGGACCGGGAUGGACACACCGCUGGUGUACCAGUUGUUCUGCCAAGAGCAUCGCUGGGUAGCUAUGUGUGGACGGGAUAAACGCUGAAAGCAUCUAAGCGUGAAGCCCCCCUCAAGAUGAGAUUUCCCAUCACUUUAAGUGAGUAAGACCCCUGAGAGAUGAUCAGGUAGAUAGGUUGGGAGUGGAAGUACAGCGAUGUAUGGAGCGGACCAAUACUAAUCGGUCGAGGACUUAAUC
rnacentral:rRNA from 1 species